rnacentral:tRNA from 1 species
GUCUGGGGCUCAGGGGUAGAGUGCUUGCCUAGCAUGUGUGAAGUACUGGGUUCGAUCUUCAGCACCACAUA